GGCGGCGGCCAGGGGGCUGUGGCGUGACUGGCGCGGGAAGGGCCCAGCGGGCAGAGGCGCAGAUGGCUCAUUACCCGAGCCACGGCAGAACUAGACCGAGGGGCUGGAACCUGGACGUUGGGCAGGUCCAGACCGGAAACCAAGGGGGAAGUUUUUCCCCACUGUGAAAAUAAUUAGCCCUGGGAACAACUGCUGAGACUUCAUGAAAUUCUCUUUCCCCCUGUUAUGCUGGAGGUCCAGUUAAAUGACCAUAACGAUCUAUUCAAGCCUUAAAAUCAUGAAAUUAUGCACAGCACUGAUCUGGCAUGUACGUGAUGCCUGAGAUGUAACUCGGUCCUCAAGUACUACAGUCACAUUGGUUGGAAUCCACAAAAGUACCGAGACACCAAAGUCCUGUUUUCAGGCAUCAGAGUACACCAUAAAACUCAGCUCAGCAGCCACCCACCCAGGUAUAUGCCUCUAUAUAUGCAGGAAAAUAUUCCAAUGGCCCUUUCUGCUACCAACCAUCAGACGUAGUUUUUUCAACAUUACUGCUUUCCACAUUUCCACCUCCAACUGAAUGUUUCAGCGCUUUCCCCCUAAAUUUACUAACAAGGAACCAAGAACGGUUUAAUUUCCUAGGAUUUCAAUUACUUUAAGUUCAAAACUUCUGAAUCUAUUGUUAUCAGGAGAAACCUUCAGGAACAUUAAUUAUAGAAGCUUCGUUCAACAGCUGCCAACAUCAGGAAAAAAAUGGCACUUUCUGAUGAAAAGACUGCAAGAAACCCAGCAACUUUACAACCACUGCCAGUCUCCCACCAUAUGCCAAAUUCAGCAAAUCUUCCCCAA